GACGAACGCUGGCGGCGUGCCUAAUACAUGCAAGUCGAACGCUUCUUUCCUCCCGAGUGCUUGCACUCAAUUGGAAAGAGGAGUGGCGGACGGGUGAGUAACACGUGGGUAACCUACCCAUCAGAGGGGGAUAACACUUGGAAACAGGUGCUAAUACCGCAUAACAGUUUAUGCCGCAUGGCAUAAGAGUGAAAGGCGCUUUCGGGUGUCGCUGAUGGAUGGACCCGCGGUGCAUUAGCUAGUUGGUGAGGUAACGGCUCACCAAGGCCACGAUGCAUAGCCGACCUGAGAGGGUGAUCGGCCACACUGGGACUGAGACACGGCCCAGACUCCUACGGGAGGCAGCAGUAGGGAAUCUUCGGCAAUGGACGAAAGUCUGACCGAGCAACGCCGCAUGAGUGAAGAAGGUUUUCGGAUCGUAAAACUCUGUUGUUAGAGAAGAACAAGGACGUUAGUAACUGAACGUCCCCUGACGGUAUCUAACCAGAAAGCCACGGCUAACUACGUG
rnacentral:rRNA from 1 species